UGAAUACUCCCUCCAUCCCAAAAUACUUGUCGAGCAAAUGGAUGUAUCUAGACAUAUGUUUAGCUCUAGAUACAUCAAUUUCUAUCCAUUUCAACGACAAGUAACUCGAGACAGAGGGAGUAUUAA
rfam:Triticum aestivum genome assembly, contig: Triticum_aestivum_CS42_TGACv1_scaffold_288693_4AL